UACAGGACUUUGAAAUAUAUAAUAUGUGAUACACAUAUACACUCGCGCUUAUUUUCUCUAUUUUGGUACUGGACGUAUUACGAGUGCAUGUGGUUUGCAGAUUAUACACCCGGUUGAUGUUGAUGUGGAUGUGGAGAUAACAAAUACAGUAAAAGAGAAGGAAGAAGAUAUUACCAUGCCAGGACCAAAAAAGAAGAGGCAAAGAAUUACCCAAGAAAUGGUUUGGGAGGCACAGCUGCAGUUUUUUAAAGAACAAACACUAACUGAAAGAAGGCGCAGACAGUUAAUGGACACAAAAGAGGAAUUUUAUAAGGCUGCCACUGCAGCCAUGUAUGAUGGAAGUAUGGGGAAUAUAGUACAUGAUAUCUUUCCCUGUCUGAAAGAAACUUAAAAGGACCACAAGCUAAAGGCUGUGCAGUAACUUAGCUGUCUGGACUUUCUGGAAUUAAAUAUAAUAUUUUUUGAAUGAAGAUGGCACAAAUGUUCACCACAGUGAAAGGGAUUGAUGCGAUGAAAAAUCUAUUAAUGAAAAAUAAAAUGUGAAUGGAAUAUUGUCUACUGUUGUU